UUGACAGCAAAGGCUGCUGGUGCAGUGUAGUUAGCCAAACCAUUAGCGAGAUUUUAUUAGGCCAUGAUUAAUUUGAGAUUAUAACAAGCAUAGCAAGGUCUUUCAGAGGGUGAAGUGAACCUGAUGGAUGUGACUGUGGAGGUGGAGAACCAAGACGCUUACAGCAGCAGCUCCCCCACCCCUGGUGUGUUACCUCAGGAAAACCAUGAUGACAGCCUGACCUAUCACACCCCUGCCCCAGCACUGUUUCCCCAGCCAGAUUUUUGUCAGGGGAAUCGGUUACAAGUUGCCAGUGCCCUCCAGACCAGUCGUCUUCUCCCAGCUGUCAGAAUAUUUAUACCAGCCCGCUGAUGGAGGCAACUUCCAGCUCCCUCUGCCAGUCAUGGAAGACAUCACACCAGAGAAUCAGAUGUUUUCACACCAAAAGUACCGCUG